UCGCCAAGUGGAAACUCCUACUUGAUGGUCGCCGCCGACACGAGCUGUAGGAAGGAGAGACUGCUAACGCCUCCAGCGCCGUUGCUUCUGUUACCGCGGCCACGGCCUUCCUACUGGGCCUCCGUUCCAUAGACAAGUUCGCCUGCUGCAAAUUACAUACUCCCUAUCUCUCUUUACAGAAACAUAAAUACCACCCGUCUCAUUAUAACUUGUUUUAAGUCCGGAAGAAAAUGAUUAUGGGUCUUCGAUUUAAGUCCAAAACCACUCUUCUUUUCACUUGGAUUUCCAAUGUCAUGAUAAUUAUCCUUUGAUACAACCAAUGUCGGGUACCUAUUGUCACAAAGUCAGUGAUCUGUCUAACGACUUGUCUACUUCAACUACAUUUUAGAGACCAGUGGACGGUUAAUUCGACGAACUUCUAGUUCAAGUUGUAAUCAGUGAAAAGUUCAAACCAUCAUAAGUCAAACGUUAUCACUAAAGACUUAAAAGUCCGACGACCAUUGAAUCACGAUUCACCGUAAGUUAACACAGUUCUGCUUAAACUAAACAUUAACGUUCCUAUCAAAAACAAUGCACUCCAUAAAGAGCCUUGGUGAUACAUAAUCUAGUGAAACAAUAAGGUGUCAAUGGU
rnacentral:rRNA from 1 species